rnacentral:rRNA from 1 species
AAGGAUCAUUAGUGAAUAUAGGACGUCCAACUUAACUUGGAGUCCGAACUCUCACUUUCUAACCCUGUGCACUUGUUUGGGAUAGUAACUCUCGCAAGAGAGCGAACUCCUAUUCACUUAUAAACACAAAGUCUAUGAAUGUAUUAAAUUUUAUAACAAAAUAAAACUUUCAACAACGGAUCUCUUGGCUCUCGCAUCGAUGAAGAACGCAGCGAAAUGCGAUAAGUAAUGUGAAUUGCAGAAUUCAGUGAAUCAUCGAAUCUUUGAACGCACCUUGCGCUCCAUGGUAUUCCGUGGAGCAUGCCUGUUUGAGUGUCAUGAAUACUUCAACCCUCCUCUUUCUUAAUGAUUGAAGAGGUGUUUGGUUUCUGAGCGCUGCUGGCCUUUACGGUCUAGCUCGUUCGUAAUGCAUUAGCAUCCGCAAUCGAACUUCGGAUUGACUUGGCGUAAUAGACUAUUCGCUGAGGAAUUCUAGUCUUCGGAUUAGAGCCGGGUUGGGUUAAAGGAAGCUUCUAAUCAGAAUGUCUACAUUUUAAGAUUAGAUCUCAAAUCAGGUAGGACUACCCGCUGAACUUAA